rnacentral:lncRNA from 1 species
AGACAGAAGAGUCAAUUUUUCUCCUUUUUCAUUUUAGGCGCUCCGUUUAAAGCUGACCACACAGGAGGUGCCAUGAAAAUGGGGACUCACCUGUCUUUUUGACAGCAGAGCCACUGGCACUGACCUCAGUCUCUAAUUUAUAGCUGCUGUUGAAUAAACACACACUGAAUGAGUCAACAAA